UAUCAAACCCGAUACAACCAA
rnacentral:piRNA from 1 species